AUUAUUCUCUUUGAAUUUGAUUAAGAAAACCAAACUGGUCUAAUUUCUUAAAGGCUCAAACCCUUUUUUUCUCUUCAAAUUUUCUUCCUUUUUGCUACAUUUUUCUCGGGGAGACUUAUAAAUGUGGCAAAAUCAGGCCAAUCAUUCUUCUUACAGUGGUUCUGUCAAGGCUCUUGAAGAUGAUAUACAACAUGCUAAUUCCUUGGCAUUGUCACUUCCUGGAGAUUGUGAUGGGAACUGUUUUCAGAUGAAAUUAUCUUACAGCCCCUUUGCACCUCUUUUCUUGCACUUGAUUCAAUGGUUGGAUCUUAGUUGCACGGAUACUUUACCUGUGUAUUUGGGAUUACUCCACAUACUAAUUUUCAAUUCCAGGUAUACGCUGAUGGAAUACCAUCUAUUUCCUCAAAUGAAAGGAAAGCAACUAUAAAGGAAUUUUAUGCUGUUAUAUACCCUUCAUUAAGGUUGCUUCAAGGCGAGUUUAACAAUGAUCGAAGACACAGUUAUGCAGAAGUGAACAGAAAGAGGCUUGAAAAGGUCCAAAGUAAAGAUUUAGAGGGAGAUGAAGAAUGUGGCAUAUGCAUGGAAAACAACAUGAAGAUGGUUCUGCCAAACUGUGGACAUUCCUUCUGCAUAAGUUGCUUCCAUGAUUGGUACAUGAGAUCAGAGUCAUGUCCCUUUUGCCGUGGAAGCAUGAGAAGGAUCAGUCCUGCAGAUUUAUGGAUGGUCAUUGGCAACAGUGAUGUGGUUGACAGCUUCACCAUUGCAAAAGACAAUUUGAGACGUUUGUACCUUUUCAUUCAAACUCUGCCUCCAAUCUUAGCAGAACCACAUCUACUAUACACAUUCAAUUACAUGCUAUGACUUCAACAAAAAAUAAAAAGGCUUUUAAUUAUAACUUUUAUGCAGUUGAAAUAGUUGAAUCAGACAAAUAUGCUUUUCCCUGUGUUGUGAACACCUCAAUCUCAUGCUUAUAAUAAUAUUGAAAGAGUACAGAGCAUAAACUAUGAAAGGCAUCAA